rnacentral:lncRNA from 1 species
AACAGCGUAAGAGCUUUAAACACAAUUUUGCAUCAUCUUGUAUUGUAUCCUAGAAUACCUGGAACAAAAUCUUAUUUCAGUCAGCUCAAUUUAUGCAAAUUAUAAAAUACAAACACAGACUAAAUCCUAUAGUGUACAGAAAAUGCACUAUUUAAUACUCAUUAAAUGCAGUACAAUCAAUGAAGAUUAUCAAAUAAGAAACACACACAGCAUUCUAAAUUUUUAAAUCAUCUUAGGGCUGCUAUAUCAGGGAUUGUACAAAUUGUAUGUGCUUAGCCAAUUCAAUGUUUAAUGAAACAGAUCACCUUUUUUCUUUGUAAAAGCACUGAAAAUGUAAUGUGUGCUGAUAACUCACUGAAAG